rnacentral:lncRNA from 1 species
AAACAAAAUGAAGGUCCAUAAUAUAAACUAUUUCUAACAAAUAUAAUACAAACAUAUAAUGACUCAAUCCUAAAAGUUAAUAUUGGAACAACUAAAAAAUCUAUUAUUAAAACAAACCAAAUUAUAUUAUAAUGCUUUACUAACAGUAAUAAUUAAAACUUAACAAAAAUAAACCAAUUCUAUUAUAAUCUAUAGGCAAUAUAAUGAAAAAUGGGAAAUGUUACCGUAACAGUAUAUAUGGUGAUGAUAAUUUCAAUUUUCCUGAAGUCACGCGUCCAGCCAAGAAGCACGUAUCACGUUACGGUAAUCAUGUAAUUUUCACAAAAAAACAACAACAGCAACACUAAAAACACCGUCGACAUUAAUUUACAAAUCCAACAAGCUAUACAU